rnacentral:misc_RNA from 1 species
AUUACUUUUUUUUCGCAUUUCUGCGGACAACGUUCCUGUGUUACAUGCGUGUGGGUGUGAAAUAGACCCGGGAGAACCCCAUCGCCCUGACGGACUCGUAAACGGGGGGUAACCCUGCGGGUCUCUGAAGGUGCACGAGGGUGUGAAUGAAUUGAAGGGGCGUGCACUUGCGACGUGACCGCCAGCACAACCCCGAGAACUCGUUAAUGAUCCUUCCGCAGGUUCACCUACGGAAA